AUACUUCUUGCCUGGACUGCCUGUUUACAUCAGCACAGUGUGCACUUUUGGCUAAAUCCUAAAAAAUAUGGGCGUGAAACUGUCCACCACAUUCCGCGAAGGUGAAGCAAAGCCAGAUCCCCAUGCUGCAGCGCUUUCAAACCCCUUCAUGACUCCAGCAGAAUAUGUUAGCAACUCCUUGGCCCCUCUCGUUCCAGGUAUUCCGCUGUCUGAGUGAAGUGGGCACACAAAAAGAUCUUCUGACUGUGAUUUCAAGAGGAAUGAGAACGAGAUAACUGAGAAGAGUGGUUUUGAACGUAAACCAAAUUAGCGUCACCAGGGAUGAAAAGAAAGCAAUUUGAAGAAAACGUCAAUUGGAGGACUUCAAUUACCUUUUCGUUCUUUAUUCCUUUUUUUUUUUUUUUUUUUUUUAUUUUUAUUUUUUUUUAUUUCAUUAAAUGAGGAUUGUCAGUGGACUCAAAACUGAUCAUCUCUGUGCAGAAUGAACCUGUAAAAUAGUCAUUGGAUUUUUGUUUGUACAUAGCACAUUCACUUUGAUCGUUCAUAGGAUCAAAGGACCUUAAUACAUCUUGCAUGUCUUACUGUGAAUCGCUAUUUGUUUUGAAUGGAAAGUUUUUUUCGUCGAUACCUCGACCCCUACAACUGGUUUCAGCAAAUCUAACAUCUACUAUGAGGGGUAUUCAAAAAGUAAUGCACCCAACUUUAUUAUGUACAAACAAAUUAUAAUAGCAACAUGUAUUAUACAUCAAAAGAAAGGUACAAGUGUGAGGAUUAUAUUUUUACUUCUCCACAUAGUCUCCACCUCUCUCAAGAGCUACAGUCCACCUAUGAACGAGGGCAUGUAUACCAGUGUUGUAGAACUCGGCCGGUUGAUCUCUAAGCCAAUUCUUGACAGCAGUUUUCACUUCAUUGUCAUUGCCAUAUCGGUUGCCCCGGACUCCUUCUUUCAUUGGACCAAAGAGGAGGUAGUCUGACGGUGCCAAAUCAGGAGAAUAUGGCGGAUGUGGUAUCACAGUCCAUCCAAAUGAAGUGAUGACUUCUAUGGUCCUAAUGCUUGUGUGAGGACAUGCAUUGUCAUGCUGGGGGAGCACAUUUGCCAUGUCCAAGUUGGGCCGAACACGUCGAAUUCUUGCUUUGAGCUUCCUAAGAGUCUCAAUGUAUACCUCAGAGUUAAUGGUUUCCCCCUUCGGCAAAAAAUCCACAAGGAUUACACCUUGAGAAUCCCAAAAAACGGUGGCCAUAAUUUUGCCCACUGACUUUUGGGCCUUAAACUUUUUUGUCCGUGGUGAAUUUGGGUGACGCCAUUCCACUGAUCUCCUUUUAGAUUCAGGUUCAAAAUGGUAUACCCAUGUUUCAUCUCCAGUAAUGAGGGAUCAGGGGUCUGAGGGGUUUCUCCCUCUGCAACAAGGAAUUCGAUUACAGCUCUUUGUUUCUGACGAGCUUCAAGAGGGGCAGCCAUUUUGGAAGCUAGUUUAAACUUUAAAAAUCUGGAAAAAAAGAAAAACAUAUAACAAUCACAAAAAGGUGUGUCCUAUCAUGUUUGUGCCAAAUAUAAACAAGAUUGGUAAAAUCCUGUAAGAGCAAUGCACUUGAGUGCAUUACUUUUUGAAUGCCCCUCGUAUGUGUUGUUCUUUCCUUGCAAUGCAUUUUUUUAAAGUAGCCAUUUGUAAGAUUGGUGGCCAAAAAUAGUACA